rnacentral:rRNA from 1 species
GUACGGUGGCGGACGGGUGAGUAACGCGUAAAGAAUUUGCCCUUCAGACUGGGACAACUAACCGAAAGGUUAGCUAAUACCGGAUAUUAUGAGACCUUGGCAUCAAGGACUUAUGAAAGCUAUAUGCGCUGGAGGAGAACUUUGCGUCCCAUUAGGUAGUUGGUAGGGUAAUGGCCUACCAAGCCGACGAUGGGUAGCCGGCCUGAGAGGGUGAACGGCCACAAGGGGACUGAGACACGGCCCUUACUCCUACGGGAGGCAGCAGUGGGGAAUAUUGGACAAUGGACCAAAAGUCUGAUCCAGCAAUUCUGUGUGCACGAUGAAGGUCUUCGGAUUGUAAAGUGCUUUCAGGUGGGAAGAAGAAAGUGACGGUACCACCAGAAGAAGCGACGGCUAAAUACGUGCCAGCAGCCGCGGUAAUACGUAUGUCGCAAGCGUUAUCCGGAAUUAUUGGGCGUAAAGCGAGUCUAGGCGGCUUGUUAAGUCAGAUGUGAAAAUGCGGGGCUCAACUCCGUAUUGCGUUUGAAACUGGCAGGCUAGAGUACUGGAGA